rnacentral:rRNA from 1 species
UACGUAGGCAGCAAGCGUUGUUCGGAGUUACUGGGCGUAAAGCGUGCGUAGGCGGUCUUUUAAGUUUGGUGUGAAAUCUCCCGGCUCAACUGGGAGGGUGCGCCGAAAACUGGGAGGCUUGAGGAUGGGAGAGGCAUGCGGAAUUCCUGGUGUAGCGGUGAAAUGCGUAGAUAUCAGGAGGAACACCUGCGGUGUAGACAGCAUGCUGGACCAUUUCUGACGCUGAGGCACGAAAGCGUGGGUAGCAAACAGG